rnacentral:ncRNA from 10 species
AUCCUUUUGUAGUUUAUAAGCAUAAUGGUUGGGUUUUUAUAUGCAUGUGUGAAAUGUGCUUCCCUCAAACCUUGUUACAAUGUCAGCACAUUACCCACCUGACA